UUCACAUCGAAUAAUAACAUUCUUUAUAAUAAGUUACAAGAUAAAUUAAUGAUAAUUCUCUAAUUUAUUAAAUUGGUUUCUAAGUAAAACAAAUUUUAAUUUCAUAGUCAUUAUGUACAUCUCAUUGGCACUUUUAUGGUUAUGUUUCGAAAUAAUUCAUGGAGAAAAAAUUCGAUGUCUGAUUGGAGAAGUGACAGAUGAAAAUCUCUGCAAAGAAUUAAUGAAAGAAUGCGUGAUGAAUAAAUUCUAUAAACGUAAGUAAUAUGACUAUAAAUAUACGAUAAACUAGGGGACGGAAAUUUAAUUCUAUGGCGAUAUAGAAAAUUUGAAAAACAAUUUACAAGGGCCAGUAAAAACUUGAUUGUAAGUUAAUAAUCGUUGUGUUAUCAUAACUAUUAUUGUAAACAGCGAUAAACAAUGAACACCAUCAUAAUCUCCAAAUAC